rnacentral:rRNA from 1 species
AUGUGCAUCACAGCCCAUUAUAUCAAUGCAGAAUUCAACUACAAGAAGAAGAUCAUAAGUUUCACAGAAGUGAAGUAUCCCCACACAGGCAUAGUCCGUUGCUUAACAGAAUGGAGCAUAGGGGGAAAAUUAUUCAGUUUGACACUAGAUAAUGCCAACAAUAAUACUAAUGCAUGUGAGGAGUUAAUAAAAUAUCACAAACAUGAGGUCCUUGAAGGUCAACAUUUGCAUGUCAGGUGUUGUGUGCACAUUCUUAAUUUCUUGGUUCUGGAUGGAAUGAAAAUAAUCCAUGAAGCUAUUGAUAUUAUACGUAAGCUGCUGAAGUAUAUUGACUCUUCUACUUCAAGACUUCAAGAUUUCAAUACAAUUGCAAGUGGGAUGGGCCUAUCUUCAAAGAAAGGUAUCUCUGUUGAUACACCAACAAGAUGGAACUCAACCUGCUUGUAG